rnacentral:misc_RNA from 1 species
GAAAUGCGAUAAGUAAUAUGAAUUGCAGAUUUUCGUGAAUCAUCGAAUCUUUGAACGCAUAUUGCGCCCUUUGGUAUUCCAGAGGGCAUGCCUGUUUGAGCGUCAUUUCUCUCUCAUACCUACGGGUUUGGUUAUGAGUGCUACGCCAGGCCAUUAGGCUAGGUGUUCACUUGAAAUGAAUUGGCAUGAGCAGUACAGGAUAGUACUCCUCGACAUUUCAAUGUAUUAGGUUCAUCCAACUCGUUGAAUUAGUCAGGAAGUAAUUUUCCUAGUACUUUUGAGGCUCUGCCUAAGAAACUUUCAAAAGGUUGACCUCAAAUCAGGUAGGACUACCCGCUGAACUUAA